rnacentral:rRNA from 1 species
UAAUGGCAGGUCAGCAUACUGCCGUGAAUACGUUCCCGGGCCUUGUACACACCGCCCGUCACACCAUGAGAGUUGGGAAUACCCGAAGCCUGUGAGCUAACGUAAGAGGCAGCAGUCGAAGGUAGAAUCAAUGAUUGGGGUGAAGUCGUAACAAGGUACC